AUUUAAUUUGGCUAACAUUUUAAAAUUUUGCAAUGUUUUAAUAUUGCAUUUUAAAAUUUAAUUGGUACUUUACUCGCACAUUCAAAAGAUUGAAAUUUAAUUUAUUUUAAAUACAAUUUUAUAUUCUAUAACCAUGUUAUAUUUUUAUUUUUAAUCACAUAAUAUUAAAUAAUACUAGCUAAAUUUCUCAGUUAAAUGCUAAACUUAGCGAUGACAAGAGAGAGGGGACUCCUCGUUAACCUUGGGGAUCCACCCUUAACAGGGCAAGAAUCCCCAAUUUCUUUCCCCG
rnacentral:misc_RNA from 1 species